GUGCCAGCAGCCGCGGUAAUACGGAGGGUGCAAGCGUUAUCCGGAAUUAUUGGGCGUAAAGCGUCCGUAGGUGGUUAGUCAAGUCAGUUGUUAAAGCGUGGAGCUAAACUCCAUAAGGGCAAUUGAAACUGAUUAGCUAGAGUGCGAUAGGGGCAAGGGGAAUUCCCAGUGUAGCGGUGAAAUGCGUAGAUAUUGGGAAGAACAUCGGUGGCGAAAGCGCCUUGCUGGGUCUGCACUGACACUGAGGGACGAAAGCUAGGGGAGCGAAAGGGAUUAGAAACCCCAGUAGUCC
rnacentral:rRNA from 1 species